rnacentral:snRNA from 1 species
AGCUUUGCACAGUGGCAGUAUCGUAGCCAAUGAGGUUUAUCCGAGGCGUGAUUAUUGCUAAUUGAU